rnacentral:rRNA from 1 species
UACGGGGGGGGCAAGCGUUGUUCGGAAUUAUUGGGCGUAAAGAGCGUGUAGGCGGCCAGAUAGGUCAGCUGUGAAAACUCGAGGCUCAACCUCGAGAUGUCGGCUGAAACCAUCUGGCUAGAGUCCGGAAGAGGAGAAUGGAAUUCCCGGUGUAGCGGUGAAAUUCGUAGAUAUUGGGAAGAACACCGGUGGCGAAGGCGGCCAUCUGGACCGAGACUGACGCUGAGGCGCGAAAGCGUGGGGAGCAAACAGG